rnacentral:rRNA from 1 species
UACGGAGGAUCCAAGCGUUAUCCGGAUUCACUGGGUUUAAAGGGUGCGUAGGCGGGCAGGUAAGUCCGUGGUGAAAUCUCUGAGCUUAACUCAGAAACUGCCAUGGAUACUAUUUGUCUUGAAUAUUGUGGAGGUAAGCGGAAUAUGUCAUGUAGCGGUGAAAUGCUUAGAUAUGACAUAGAACACCAAUUGCGAAGGCAGCUCGCUGGGACGUCACUGACGCUGAGACGCGAAAGCGUGGGGAGCAAACAGG